CGCACCUGCGAGAACGCUCGCCGAUGCGCGCCUCGGCGACCGUUAUCGUCUACCAGAAUCGCUCACCCGGACUUUAAGAGAACGUUUCACCGAGGAUGAGUCAGUAAGAACCCGAUCUCUUUCGCGAGAUUGCAUUUUCUAGCGCGAUCGUAUAAAGAUAAUCGGGCGUAGGAAAGAAGAGAAACUCACCGUCACUUCGCGUUAACGUAUUAAUCAUCGUGAGCCAGAUACACGUGUUGGAGCCCUCGUGUCGCAUCCACACCAGACUGAAUACCUGCGGGCACUCGCCAUCCUCUCGUGACAGAUAAUUCUGCAAUGAGAGAACAACGCGGAUUUUCCGUUAGCUGGCGUCAUUUCCAUUCAAUGCGAUGUUCGGCAUCGACUGGUGAUCACCCUUAGCGCGAACUCACCCUUAGCGCGGUUUCGACAUUACUGAAGAUGCCCCUGUCUUCACCACUGGGAAAUACGACCAUGUCGGCAGGAAAGAAUUGCUGCAAAAAAUUAAGGAGAUCUCUGUAUAUAUGCCGUAAUUCUCCUAUUUUUAUCUAUUUUGAUAAAUCGGAGAAGGAAACUCUGACAGGACUGAUAUUGAAGGAAAUAUAUACAUCUACACUGUAAAAA